GAUGAACGCUGGCGGCGUGCCUAAUACAUGCAAGUCGAACGCUUCACUUCGGUGAAGAGUGGCGAACGGGUGGGUAAUACGUAAGUAACCUGGCAUCUACAGGGGGAUAACUGAUGGAAACGUCAGCUAAGACCGCAUAGGUGUCGAGAUCGCAUGAACUCUAUAUGAAAAGUGCUACGGGACUGGUAGAUGAUGGACUUAUGGCGCAUUAGCUUGUUGGUAGGGUAACGGCCUACCAAGGCGACGAUGCGUAGCCGACCUGAGAGGGUGACCGGCCACACUGGGACUGAGACACGGCCCAGACUCCUACGGGAGGCAGCAGUAGGGAAUUUUCGGCAAUGGGGGAAACCCUGACCGAGCAACGCCGCGUGAAGGAAGAAGUAAUUCGUUAUGUAAACUUCUGUCAUAGAGGAAGAACGGUGGAUAUAGGGAAUGAUAUCCAAGUGACGGUACUCUAUAAGAAAGCAACGGCUAACUACGUG
rnacentral:rRNA from 1 species